rnacentral:tRNA from 1 species
AGGGACUUAGGUUAAAGCAGACCAAGGGCCUUCAAAGCCCUAAGCGGGAGUUAGAGCCUCCCAGACCCUG